AAAGUCCCAAAUUUUCUAUACUACAAUUGGAACAAUACAGAGAAGAUUGGCGUGGCCCCUGCACAAAGAUGACAUGCAAAUUUGUGAUGUGUUCCAUAUUUAC